GGAUUCCCCUAGUAACGGCGAGUGAAGAGGGAAAAGCUCAAAUUUUGAAUCUGGUGUCUUUGACUCCCGAGUUGUAAUCUAGAGAAGUGUUUUCCGUGUCGGACCGUGUACAAGUUCCCUGGAACGGGGCGUCAUAGAGGGUGAGAAUCCCGUAUAUGCCACGGACUACCGAUGCUCUGUGAUACACUCUCAACGAGUCGAGUUGUUUGGGAAUGCAGCUCAAAAUGGGUGGUAAAUUCCAUCUAAAGCUAA
rnacentral:rRNA from 1 species